rnacentral:rRNA from 1 species
GUGGGGAAUAUUCCGCAAUGGACGAAAGUCUGACGGAGCAACGCCGCGUGAGUGAUGAAGGUUUUCGGACUGUAAAGCUCUGUUGUUUAGGACGAAAGUGCCUGUUGCAAAUAGUUACAGGUAUUGACGGUACUGAACGAGGAAGCCACGGCUAACUACGUGCCAGCAGCCGCGGUAAUACGUAGGUGGCAAGCGUUGUCCGGAAUUAUUGGGCGUAAAGAGCAUGUAGGCGGGAAUCUAAGUCUGUUGUGAAAAUGCGGGGCUCAACCCCGUAUUGCGAUGGAAACUGGGUUUCUUGAGUGCAGGAGAGGAAAGGGGAAUUCCCAGUGUAGCGGUGAAAUGCGUAGAUAUUGGGAGGAACACCAGUGGCGAAGGCGACUUACUGGACUGUAACUGACGCUGAGGCGCGAAAGUGUGGGGAGCAAACAGGAUUAGAUACCCGUGUAGUCC